CUUAGAAGCUGGGUGGACGGUGAAUCCGGGUUUAUAUGGUGGUGAUAAUAGAACCAGAAUGUAUAUUUAUACCAAUGCUGGUCAAGCACAUUGUUUCAACACAC